UAGCCACUCAAGCCUUGCUUGGUGUUGGGGCUCGCAAUCUUGCGGCCUCUAAAAUUAGUGGCGGUGCCGGUAGGCUCUGAGCGUAGUACAUCUUCUCGCUAUAGAGCCCUGUCGGUCCCCUGCCAAAACCCCCAUAUUUUAUA
rnacentral:misc_RNA from 1 species